UGAGCGGAGAUAUAUGGAGCUUGCUUUAUAUAACUUAGCAGCGAACGGGUGAGUAACACGUAGAUAAUCUAUCCUAUACUGGGGGAUAGCCCGAUGAAAGUUGGAUUAAUACCGCACAUAGCUAUAUAGUUGCAUGAUUAUGUAGUGAAAGAUUUAUUGGUAUAGGAGGAGUCUGCGGCACAUUAGCUAGUAGGUGAGGUAAAGGCUUACCUAGGCGACGAUGUGUAGCCGGUCUGAGAGGAUGAACGGCCACAAUGGAACUGAGACACGGUCCAUACUCCUACGGGAGGCAGCAGUGGGGAAUAUUGCACAAUGGGGGAAACCCUGAUGCAGCAACGCCGCGUGAGUGAAGAAGGUUUUCGGAUUGUAAAGCUCUGUUAGCAGGGAAGAGGAAGGACGGUACCUGCAGAGGAAGCCACGGCUAACUACGUGCCAGCAGCCGCGGUAAUACGUAGGUGGCAAGCGUUGUUCGGAAUAACUGGGCGUAAAGGAUGCGUAGGCGGUUAAACAAGUUAUAUGUUAAAUAUAUAGGCUUAACCUGUAGAAAGCAUAUAAAACUGUUUAACUAGAGUGCAGGAGAGGUAAGUGGAAUUCCUAGUGUAGCGGUGAAAUGCGUAGAGAUUAGGAAGAACACCAGUGGCGAAGGCGACUUACUGGACUGUAACUGACGCUGAGGCAUGAGAGCAUGGGGAGCAAACAGGAUUAGAUACCCUGGUAGUCCAUGCUGUAAACGAUGGGUACUAGGUGUGGGUUGUGAAUAA
rnacentral:rRNA from 1 species